rnacentral:rRNA from 1 species
GCUGGUGACCUGACUCAAGGGACCUCCUUCCCCCAGGCCCGGCUAGUCCCUAGAUGGGAGACCACCUGGGAAUCCCGGGUGCUGUAGGCA